GUGUGUGACCCUCUAGGCCCAAUAUCGAGCUGGCGUGAGUCAUACUGUCGAACUCCUUCUAACUUCGGUGAAUUAUUAUCUCGUAAUAAUUCCUUUCGACUCAUCGACUACUGGGGACAUGCUAGGCCCUCUUGCAGUAGUCCCCGGUGUCUGAGGGGAAUCAAUCCAUUGGACACAUGUCGUCUCGAUUACCAUGUACCUAUAGUCCCUCAUCCAUCUAAUAUCCCGAGAGGCGUAUAUCGAGCAUGGUGUUGUCAGACCCAUACGGUUUCUACUCGAGUCUCGCUCUGUCGGUUCUCCCGGAACUCUUUCUCUCUCAACCCGAAUGACCCUGGCGAGGAUUUGCUCAAAACAAGAAUACAUGGGAUAUUCCUCUCAUGGCCUGCCAGAGUGGAUGAUCCUCUAUCGACACUCAAUAGCCUCGUGGGUUAUUUACCACUCCCAAUGACCAGCGGUACUAGAUGCGGGACAGCCAAACCUAUAAGUCUGGUAUCAAAGAGUGGAGCAUUCAUCUAUGACAUCCCUUGGCAUCUCAAGUCUGGGGACGGAUACACCACUAGGACUUCGGAAUCAUUUCUCGACAAUAAGGCAUCAUCAACCAUCCAGCAUUCCGUGCGGAUCAAUCAGUGAACUCAUUUCUCCAAUGAGCACAUCUUGUAUCCCUAGUGUCCCUACAGGCAGCUAUAAGACCAGGCAUCCAUCCUUAUGGACGGGUAUCACAGCACCGGUCUAUCUGUAGUAUCACGAUGUCCUCUCGGUAACCUAUGAUGGAAUUAUUUAGGAUAUGUGUUAAAGGUGAAUCAAUCUCAUUAUCAUGAUCUCAUCGAUCCGAUUCCCAUUACCAAAUCCAGGACAUCACAAUAUAUAUAUGCAUUUAUGCAAUAGUUAUAAAGUGAUAUCGCCAAAAUAUAAUAAACAAAAGAUUUUUGUAUCAAGUCACACUUGCCAUCACUCCGUGAUUGGCUUGCUGGGCACCUAUUAUUUAGCACAAUGUAGGCAAGGAAGUCGGCAAAAGCGGAUCCAGUAACCGGAAAAGGAUUGCUCCUCAGAGGCGAGCCGCGGGGUCCCGACCCCGAACCGUCGGCUGUUGGCGGACUGCUCGAGCUGCUCUCGGGAGAGCUUGGUCGCCAGCGAUGCCAGCGGGGGGCCGGACGGGAAUGGCCCCCCUCCUUCCGGCGUCGAAACAGUCGACUUCGGCGAAUGCGGACAAGGGAAUCAUUUUAAUUAAAAAAAGCAUUGCGAUGGUCCCGCGGAUGCUCGCAUGAUGUGAUUUCUGCCGGUCAUCUGAAUGUCAAAGUGAAGAAAUUCAAUAGCCGCAGGUAAGCGGCGGAAAUAACUAUGGCGCUCUUAAGGUAGCCAAAUGCCUCGUCAUCUAAUUAGUGGCGUGCAUGAAUGGAUUAACGAGAUUCCCAUCCCCUCAUCUACUAUCCGUGAAACCACAGCCAAAGUGCAGGGCUUGGCAGAAUCAGCGGGAAAAGAACCCUGUUGAGCCUAGACUCUAGUCCGACUUUGUGAAAUGACUUGAGAGGUGUAGGAUAAGUGGGGCCGGUUUAAGCGUGAAGUGAAAUACCACUACUUUUAACAUUAUUUUACUUAUUCCAGUGAGUGGGUGGGGGCCACGGCCCCUCCUUUUGGACCAAGGCCCGCCCUAGCGGGUGAUCCGGCGGAAAGACAUUGUCGGUGGGGAGUUUGGGCAAAAGGCACAUCUGUUAAAAGAUAGCAUGGUGUCCAAAGAUGAGCUCAAGGAAAUAAAAAUCUCGUGUGGGACAAAAGAUUAAAAGCUUCGUUUGAUUCUGAUUUCGAUCUGAAUCUGAACAGCAAAGCGUGGCCCUCUCGAUCCUUUGAACCUUCGAAUUUGAAGCUAGAGGUGUCGAAAAAAGUUACCACAGGGAUAACUGGCUUGCGUGGCGUUCAUAGCGGCGUUGCUUUUUUUUGAUCCUUCGAUGUCGGGUCUUCCUAUCAUUGUGAAGCGAGAAUUCACCAAGUGUUGGUUGUUCACCCACCAAUAGGGAAGCGUGAGCUGGGUUUGAACCGUCAUGAGACAGGUUAGUUUUACCCUACCGAUGAUGGUGUCGCGAUAGUAAUUCAACCAAAUGCACAGAGGGAACAGUUGAUUCACACAAUUGGUCAUCGGCGCUUGGUUGAAAAAACCAAUAAUGGCUACCGUACCAUGUGUCAUUAUGACUGAGCGCCUCUAAGUCCAGAAUCUAGCUAGUACGGCAAACUCUAAGCCCAUCAUUAAGCCUCCGACCCACGGUAGGGGCCUUUGGCUAAUGGGCUCAUGCCGGUGUAGCCCUCGUGGUGGUAUAGUAGCAGGCGACCAUCGGAAGUGAAAUUCCAUACCA
rnacentral:rRNA from 1 species